UUUUCAGCCCACAGCGACGGCAACCCCCAAAGCAACCAAGAACGGCAAACCAGGCUAUGAUGACACGACGCUGCCCCUGAUGGAGAAGAACCAAGAUGGUUACUCCACCAUCGACCAGAGGGACAAAGACUGCAAAUACAAGACAGGCGACAGCUCGGUGGACCUGACAGAACGGGAACCAUUAAAGAAUGACACAAGUAGGAAACACUAUAUCAGGAGUAACAGGCCUGCGGUCAGUCUGGUGGACGCUUGUGAUGUUAAGCCCCAGCCUGUUGAUUCCUGGGUCUAAAUGCAUGCAUGGCUUAAAAAAAAAAAAAAAAAAAAAAAAAAAGCGACGGGAGUGCCACACCAGGAGGGUCUCUCACAUCACCACUGCCAUUUCAUAAGGAGCUCACAUUGGGGAGCUGAACUUUGUACAGAUAGAGGAUUUUAAAGAUAAUAACACCGACGACCAGAACGGCGACCAGCAUUAUUAUAUGAAAGAAAAAAAAAACAACAACACAAUAUGAAGUGACACUUCCUACUGCUUUUACAUUUCUACAUUCCCACGGGACUAGCAUGUGAAUUCUACAGUGUUGACCUUUGCUGAGCUCUGCAAGUUACGGGGCCACGUGGAGGCGUGACGGGGGCAGGUGAGUGGGAGAGGAAGGAAUCUUUUUAUUUGAGCUUGCUUUCACACCCGGAGGACUUACAGAUGGUCCAAUUUCUUAGUCCCGACUUUUUUCAGUUUGUUGUGGCUUUGCUGGUUUUUUUGGACGUGAGCAGGUUCGGAAUUGGAGUGUUUGAAAGAUACUGGAUGUCUAUAUUUAAAAAAGGAGCGGUAACAUAGUGGAUCGACAUGUACGCUAAGGGCCUGAUUUACUAAGAUCCAAAUGCCUCGCGCUAAAACAGCGUGUGCAAUCUAUACAAUUGCGUCUACAUGUCGCGCGUGAUCUACUAAGACCGUGUGUGCAAUUAAAAAGUGGUGCAGACCGUUUUAUUUACGUAGGAUUUUGCAUGUACGAUACUGGGCAUCACCAGGGAGACACUCAUUUACUGCACGUCCAUGUUGUCACGCUCCUGCCUGUGGCGUUUUGCUGUUUUUAUACAAGCAGGGGGACAUAUACCACUUUUUAUGGGCAUUUUUGAUAUGGUUAGGAGGGGAGGUGACGGCAACAGACACCAGGGGGCGGUAAUGUUCAAUGAUUUAUUAUAUAUAUAGUUAAAAUAUAUAUAUAAUAAUAAUAAACAAUACUAAAUAAACCAGGGGUGUCCAAACUUUUUCUACUGAGGGCCGCAUACGGAAAAAUUAAAGCCUGCGGGGGCCAUUUUGAUAGUUUUCAUUUUCAAAUCAUAACAAAAUAUAUGGAUUUUGUUUGUUUUUUUACCUUUAGGGCUCCCGGGGACUAUCGGCCGAUAAAUGCGUUAAAAUGUAAUAUCGGAAAUUAUCGGUAUCGUUUUUUUUAUUAUCUGUAUCGUUUUUGUUUUUUUGUUUUUUUUAUUAAAUCAACAUAAAAAACACAAGAUACACUUACAAUUAGUGCACCAACCCAAAAAAACUCCCUCCCCCAAUUUCUUUCUGUUAUCAAUAUUCUGGUUCCUUAUUAUAUAUCAAUAUAUAUCAAUACAGUCUGCAAGGGAUACAGUCCGUAAGCACACAUGAUUGUGCGUGCUGCUGGUCCACUAAUAGUACUAACCUUUAACAGUUAAUUUUACUCAUUUUCAUUCAUUACUAGUUUCUAUGUAACUGUUUUUAUAUUGUUUUACUUUCUUUUUUAUUCAAGAAAAUGUUUUUAAUUUAGUUAUCUUAUUUUAUUAUUUUUUUUAAAAAGUACCUUAUCUUCACCAUACAUGGUUGUCCAAAUUAGGCAUAAUAAUGUGUUAAUUCCACGACUGCAUAUAUCGGUUGAUAUCGGUAUCGGUUGAUACCGGUAUCGGUAAUUAAAGAGUUGGACAAUAUCGGAAUAUCGGAUAUCGGCAAAAAGCCAUUAUCGGACAUCCCUACCGGGGACCAUAAAGUGUCUAAGUCAUUAAAAUGUUAAAAACAAGUCAAAUUAUUUUUUUUAUUUGUUUUAUUUAACGCUUACAGUAAAUCUCUUCAGUAUAUCAACUUCAGGAUGAUAUAAAAUUUAAAAAACCAAAAAGGUUUUAUGCCUUUUCUGUCAAGACAACUUUGUUUUUUAUAAUAAAAGUGAAAUAUGCAGUAUUUCCCCCACUGCCCAAAACAUUCAGAAAGCAAUGUUUGAUGUGAAGUAAUGACAGAUCAAUAAUGCAGGACACCAUUGAUUUUAAUUCUUUAAUAUUUUUGAGUAAUCACAGUGAAAAGAUAAAUAAAAUCCCAUUAAAUAUAUUUAGGAUACAAAAGGUGCCCCACUCAAAGUGAUACAUUUGUAUUAGGUUUUUUUUUUACUUUCAACACUUAAGUUACUAGAUCAACUUCACAUAUAUCUGUCCAUUUUACGUUUGAACUAUUAUUUUGUUUGUUAUAUGCUCUUUUGUCAAAGAAAACGUUGAUGUUUUUGUAUGGCAACCACACAAUAUAUGCAAUAUUUUCCACAUAAAACAUUUUAAAGUGAAAUAUUUGAAAUAAUUGGAGCCUUGAAUAGGUCAAUAAUUCAUUAUAACAUUGAUUUUUCUUUUUUUUUUAAAGCAAUGGCAAAAAAAGAAAAAUAAAGAUAGACAAGAGAAAAAAAAGCAGCCUGCAUGGCAGCUUUGUGUCAACAUUGCAACUUUUUCUAGUUUGAUGUCACCUCAUUCCACUUUUUGGAUUGUUUAUUUUGCAAUAGCAUUUCCAAACAAUUAGCUGCGGCCCGCAAAUGGCCCCCGGGCCGCACUUUGGACACCCCUGAAAUAAACUAUAGAAUGGUGUGUGUGACAAAAACCCAAGAGUGAGUGGUGUUGGAUCAGGGGUCACCAACCUUUUUGAAACCUAGAGCUACUUCUCGGGUACUGAUUAAUGCGAAGGGCUACCAGUUUGAUACACACUUAAAUAAAUUGCCAGAAAUAGCCAAUUUGCUCAAUUUACCUUUAACUCUAUGUUAUUAUUAAUAAUUAAUGAUAUUUACACUUAAUUGAACGGUUUAAAAGAGGAGAAAACACGAAAGAAAUGACAAUUAAAUUUUGAAACACAGUUUAUCUUCAAUUUCGACUCUUUAAAAUUCAAAAUUCAACCGAAAAAAAGAAGAGAAAAACUAGCUAAUUCGAAUCUU